rnacentral:rRNA from 1 species
UACAGGGGGUGCAAACGUUGCUCGGAAUUAUUGGGCGUAAAGCGCGCGUAGGCGGCUACUUAAGUCGGAUGUGAAAGCCCCUGGCUCAACUGGGGAAGUGCACCCGAAACUGAGUGGCUUGAGUGCGAAAGAGGGUCGCGGAAUUCCCGGUGUAGAGGUGAAAUUCGUAGAUAUCGGGAGGAACACCGGUGGCGAAGGCGGCGACCUGGGUCGAUACUGACGCUGAGGUGCGAAAGCGUGGGGAGCAAACAGG